AUUGAACGCUGGCGGCAGGCCUAACACAUGCAAGUCGAGCGGAUGAAGGGAGCUUGCUCCUGGAUUCGGCGGCGGACGGGUGAGUAAUGCCUAGGAAUCUGCCUGGUAGUGGGGGAUAACGUCCGGAAACGGGCGCUAAUACCGCAUACGUCCUGAGGGAGAAAGUGGGGGAUCUUCGGCCCCACCGCUAUCGGAGAACCCUAGGUCGGAUUAGCUAGUUGGUGGGGUAAAGGCCUACCAAGGCGACGAUCCGUAACUGGUCUGAGAGGAUGAUCAGUCACACUGGAACUGAGACACGGUCCAGACCCCUACGGGAGGCAGCAGUGGGGAAUAUUGGACAAUGGGCGAAAGCCUGAUCCAGCCAUGCCGCGUGUGUGAAGAAGGUCUUCGGAUUGUAAAGCACUUUAAGUUGGGAGGAAGGGCAGUAAGUUAAUACCUUGCUGUUUUGACGUUACCAACAGAAUAAGCACCGGCUAACUUCGUG
rnacentral:rRNA from 1 species